AUGCUUACCUGGCAGGGGAGAUACCAUGAUCACCUAGCCUGCUCACCGAGGGUGAGGCCCAGCCAUUCCACUGCGGCUCUGCUGACCCCUGCAAAUUGCCCAGAUGUGGGAAUCUCAAAUGCAUCAUUUCUGGUGGCAGGGUACUGUGUUCGCAAUAUCCCCUGA
ensembl:snRNA U1 U1 spliceosomal RNA